AUGAUGGAGAGCAGAUCAGGGCUGUUUAUUUUUGUCCUUUGUUUUAUGGGUGUUGAAGCUCAGACUCUGAAAGAAUCUGAGUCAGUGGUUAAAAAUCCUGGAGACUCUCAUAUGCUGACCUGCACGGCCUCUGGAUUCACAUUUAGCAGCUACUGGAUACACUGGAUCAGACAGGCUCCUGGGAAAGGACUGGAAUGGGUAGCUGGUAUUUAUGACAGCUCAAACAUCGACUACUCUCAAGCAUUCCAAGGCCGGUUUACCAUCUCCAGAGACAACAGCAAACAGCAGGUGUAUCUGCAGAUGAACAACCUGAGAACAGAAGAUUCUGCUGUUUAUUACUGUGCUCGAGAGGCACACUGA